UUUUCCACCAUUGAAUCCCCAUCAGAGCUCCAAUUUUGCACCUAAAACACUCAACUCGACCAGAAAUGAAUCAUACACCAAUUAUAACACAUAGAGAUGUUAAUUUGACAUAGAUUUACAAUUAAAUUUACCAAUUUAUCAUGAAUUAAGGUCAAACUCUUGAAAACUCAAACACAUCAAUUAACAACAACAAUUUGCAGAUUCCACAUGCUUUCAGCAUGCAUCAAUUUGACAUAAUAGAGUAUACGAAUUUCAC
rnacentral:lncRNA from 1 species